UCUAAUAUGGCAGAUUAGUGCGAUGAACUUAAGAUUCAUUUAUGAUUAUUAUUAAUCUUUUAGAA
rnacentral:tRNA from 1 species